CAAAAAGCAAUAUUUUUGUUUUAUUUCUAAAGACGUUCCAUAUCACAAGGGCUAAAUGUGUGUCUGUAGUGCGUGUUCAAUCCUUCAUACCAGAAAUAAGAAGAUCUGAUUGGAUUUUUACUCCAGGAGUAUAUCAUGGGUUUGGCAAUUCUAGAGAAAGGUCUAAAUAAUGAUUGUGAACGGAGCGAGGGAGCGGCGAGGAGACAGGACACUGUGCAUGUCUACCGAUGUGUGUGACAGAUAUUUCUAUGGAAUAAAGUCAGAGAUCUUAUA